rnacentral:rRNA from 1 species
CCUACGGGUGGCUGCAGUGGGGAAUAUUGGACAAUGGGCGAAAGCCUGAUCCAGCCAUGCCGCGUGUGUGAAGAAGGCCUUCGGGUUGUAAAGCACUUUCAGUGGGGAAGAAAGCCUUGGGGCUAAUACCCUCGAGGAAGGACAUCACCCACAGAAGAAGCACCGGCUAACUCCGUGCCAGCAGCCGCGGUAAUACGGAGGGUGCGAGCGUUAAUCGGAAUUACUGGGCGUAAAGCGCGCGUAGGCGGUCUGAUAAGCCGGUUGUGAAAGCCCCGGGCUCAACCUGGGAACGGCAUCCGGAACUGGCAGGCUAGAGUGCAGGAGAGGAAGGUAGAAUUCCCGGUGUAGCAGUGAAAUGCGUAGAGAUCGGGAGGAAUACCAGUGGCGAAGGCGGCCUUCUGGACUGACACUGACGCUGAGGUGCGAAAGCGUGGGUAGCAAACAGGAUUAGAUACCCGAGUAGUC